GAGAGGGGAUGGAGAGAGAGGUUAGAGAGGGGAUGGAGAGAGAGGUUAGAGAGGGGAUGGAGAGAGAGGUUAGAGAGGGGAUGGAGAGAGAGGUUAGAGAGGGGAUGGAGAGAGAGGUUAGAGAGGGGAUGGAGAGAGAGGUUAGAGAGGGGAUGGAGAGAGAGGUUAGAGAGGGGAUGGAGAGAGAGGUUAGAGAGGGGAUGGAGAGAGAGGUUAGAGAGGGGAUGGAGAGAGAGGUUAGAGAGGGGAUGGAGAGAGAGGUUAGAGAGGGGAUGGAGAGAGAGGUUAGAGAGGG